rnacentral:rRNA from 1 species
GAUGAACGCUGGCGGCGUGCCUAAUACAUGCAAGUCGAGCGAACGGACGAGAAGCUUGCUUCUCUGAUGUUAGCGGCGGACGGGUGAGUAACACGUGGAUAACCUACCUAUAAGACUGGGAUAACUUCGGGAAACCGGAGCUAAUACCGGAUAAUAUUUUGAACCGCAUGGUUCAAAAGUGAAAGACGGUCUUGCUGUCACUUAUAGAUGGAUCCGCGCUGCAUUAGCUAGUUGGUAAGGUAACGGCUUACCAAGGCAACGAUGCAUAGCCGACCUGAGAGGGUGAUCGGCCACACUGGAACUGAGACACGGUCCAGACUCCUACGGGAGACAGCAGUAGGGAAUCUUCCGCAAUGGGUGAAAGCCUGACGGAGCAACGCCGCGUGAGUGAUGAAGGUCUUCGGAUCGUAAAACUCUGUUAUUAGGGAAGAACAUAUGUGUAAGUAACUGUGCACAUCUUGACGGUACCUAAUCAGAAAGCCACGGCUAACUACGUG